AGCCAGACUCCUACGGGAGGCAGCAGUGGGGAAUAUUGCACAAUGGGGGAAACCCUGAUGCAGCGACGCCGCGUGAGCGAUGAAGUAUUUCGGUAUGUAAAGCUCUAUCAGCAGGGAAGAAGAUGACGGUACCUGACUAAGAAGCCCCGGCUAACUACGUGCCAGCAGCCGCGGUAAUACGUAGGGGGCAAGCGUUAUCCGGAUUUACUGGGUGUAAAGGGAGCGUAGACGGCGAUGCAAGCCAGAUGUGAAAGCCCGGGGCUCAACCCCGGGACUGCAUUUGGAACUGUGUGGCUGGAGUGUCGGAGAGGCAGGCGGAAUUCCUAGUGUAGCGGUGAAAUGCGUAGAUAUUAGGAGGAACACCAGUGGCGAAGGCGGCCUGCUGGACGAUGACUGACGUUGAGGCUCGAAAGCGUGGGGAGCAAACAGGAUUAGAUACCCCAGUAU
rnacentral:rRNA from 1 species